UACGUAGGGGGCGAGCGUUGUCCGGAGUUACUGGGCGUAAAGCGCACGCAGGCGGUCUGCUAAGUUUGGAGUGACAGUUGGUGGCUCAACCACCAAAGUGCUUCGAAAACUGACAGACUUGAGGGCUUCAGAGGGACACGGAAUUCCGGGUGGAGUGGUGAAAUGCGUAGAUAUCGGGAGGAACACCGGUGGCGAAGGCGGCGACCUGGGUAGAUACUGACGCUGAGGUGCGAAAGCGUGGGGAGCAAACAGG
rnacentral:rRNA from 1 species